CCUACACCCCCAUCUCCCCCCACCCCACCCCCACCCGCUCCAUAAUUAUUAUGUUCAAUUUUCAUCAAUGAACGGUGCAAAUUCUUUUAAUACAGCAGAGAACAGAGACGUCACUCAAUCCUCUCUGUAACCCGGGCCACUGCACAUGUACACAUGCUCGGCUGACGAUUAGCUCUGUCGUAUCUGAGGCCAGAUAUCGAGUUUAGUACCUGGUAUCAGCUAUGUGGAGAGAAGAUACUUCAUGGCUGUUAAUGAAUCACUACAAAGUAAUCAAAUCAAGAGGGUUUCAUAAAGUAAACUUGAGUGCAGAGCUCAAACAAGUUGUAUGUCAGCUGACCUUUACGUGCUAUAUUAAAAUGCAAGGAUGAUUAUUAUUACCAGU